GAACGCACCUUGCACCCUUUGGUAUUCCGAAGGGUAUGCUCGUUUGAGUGUCAUUGUACUCUCACACUCUCUGAUCCUUUGGAUUCAGAGAGUGGUGGACUUGGGUGUUUGCUGCUUUCCUGGUGGCUCACCUCAAAUGCGUUAGUGCACCUCUUGGUUGGACAUAGUACGGCGUGAUAAGUAUCUUCGCCGGCGCCUCGCAAGAGGGUGGCCGAUUGGGAGCUCUGUGCUUUCAAACCGUCUUCGGACAAUCUCUGACAACUUGACCUCAAAUCGAGUAGGACUACCCGCUGAACUUAAG
rnacentral:misc_RNA from 1 species